rnacentral:lncRNA from 1 species
UCCCUGCUUUCAGUGGCUGCUUCAGGCCUUGUCAAUAUUCCAGAUACCAGCCAGGCGUGGUGGCUCAUGCCUGUAAUCCCAGCACUUUGGGAGGCCGAGGCAGGCGGAUCAUGAGGUCUGGAGAUCGAGACCAUCCUGGCCAAUAAGGUGAAACCCCAUCUCUAUUAAAAACAGAAAAAUUCGCCAGGCAUGGUGGCUGCACCUGUAGUCCCAGCUACGCAGGAGGCUGAAACAGGAAAAUCACUUGAACCCAGGAAGUGGAGGCUGCAGUGAGCCGAGAUCGCGCCACUGCACUCCAGCCUGGGUAACAGAGCGAGACUCAGUGUCAAAAAAAAAAAAAAAAGGACACAUACCAUAUGCAGUGGCUCACGCAUGUAAUCCCAACACUUUCCCAACACUUUCAGGAGGCAAAGGUGGAGGAUCACUUGAGCCCAAGAGUUCAAGGCCAGCCUGAGCAACAUAGUGAGACUUUGUCUCAAGAAAAACUUUAAAAAUUAGCUUGGCG